GAGGAAGCCCCUGCUCCCUCCCUGUUUCAAGAAGUCUGGGGUUGUAAGAGGAUGAGCUUCUCUGUGUAACGAAAGGAGGAGACUGAGUGAUCCCUGAUUAAUCCGGAAGCUGCUCCCCCAGCAGGACCUGGCGCGACGCCAGGGAAGGUUGGACUGAAUUUCAGGGGCCUGGUCGGAAGGCUCUCAGGGAGGUUUCCAUGGUGUCUUGGGGGCUUUGACACCGAGAACUCUUGGCUUCCAGACAGUGUCUUGGAAACCCGGAAACAGAUGUGCCGCGGCAUAAUGCAAAUAAAGAGCCAGGCUGCUGCAGGAAGGUCGCUAUAGGAAAAUAUUGCCAUCUGAUUGAUUUAUUCCCUCCCGAGAUCCUCCAUUGGUACUUAAUGUGCAACAGCGAGAGCGGCAUGUGGAGACACCUUACCCAGCGCGGCAGAUCUCCGGGUAAAUUAUCCGUGGUAUUGGGAACUCGCAGGUCGUUGACUAUCCCAAUU
rnacentral:lncRNA from 1 species